rnacentral:misc_RNA from 1 species
GAAAUGCGAUACUUGGUGUGAAUUGCAGAAUCCCGUGAACCAUCGAGUUUUUGAACGCAAGUUGCGCCCCAAGCCACUAGGCCGAGGGCACGUCUGCCUAGGCGUCACACGUUGUUGCCCCUCCCAACCCCUUCGGGAGUUGGUUGGGACGGAUGAUUGCCUCCCGUGUGCUCCGUCGCGCAGUUGGCAUAAAUAACACGUCAUCGGCGGCCAACGCCGCGACAAUCGGUGGUUGUCAAACCUCGGUGUCCUGUCGCGCGCGCGUCGUCCUUGGCUUUUCCCAUCAAACGCGCGUCGAUUCGUCGGCGCUUUCAACGCGACCCUAGGUCAGGCGGGGUUACCCGCUGAAUUUAA